UACGUAGGGGGCAAGCGUUGUCCGGAUUUAUUGGGCGUAAAGAGCUCGUAGGCGGCUCGUUGCGUCGACCGUGAAAACCCGGGGCUCAACUUCGGGCUUGCGGUCGAUACGGGCGGGCUAGAGUUCGGUAGGGGAGACUGGAAUUCCUGGUGUAGCGGUGAAAUGCGUAGAGAUCAUGAGGAAGACCAGUGGCGAAGGCGAGUCUCUGGACAGUUACUGACACUGAGGCACGAAGGCCAGGGGAGCAAACGGG
rnacentral:rRNA from 1 species